rnacentral:rRNA from 1 species
AUUGAACGCUGGCGGCAGGCCUAACACAUGCAAGUCGAGCGGAUGACGGGAGCUUGCUCUUUGAUUCAGCGGCGGACGGGUGAGUAAUGCCUAGGAAUCUGCCUGGCAGUGGGGGACAACGUUUCGAAAGGAACGCUAAUACCGCAUACGUCCUACGGGAGAAAGCAGGGGACCUUCGGGCCUUGCGCUAUCAGAUGAGCCUAGGUCGGAUUAGCUAGUUGGUGGGGUAAUGGCUCACCAAGGCGACGAUCCGUAACUGGUCUGAGAGGAUGGUCAGUCACACUGGAACUGAGACACGGUCCAGACUCCUACGGGAGGCAGCAGUGGGGAAUAUUGGACAAUGGGCGAAAGCCUGAUCCAGCCAUGCCGCGUGUGUGAAGAAGGUCUUCGGAUUGUAAAGCACUUUAAGUUGGGAGGAAGGGCAGUAAGCUAAUAUCUUGCUGUUUUGACGUUACCGACAGAAUAAGCACCGGCUAACUCUGUGCCAGCAGCCGCAGUAA